UUUUAAAAAAUUUAUCUAUUUGUACAAUUAAAAACUAGUGUGUUUGAUGGAAUAACUAGAUAGUGACACAAGUUGUAUUGUCUGUAUAUCAUGCUGACAUACAAAAACCUUUUUUUAAUAGUAAAAAUAGAUGAAAUUUUUAACA
rfam:Gossypium arboreum cultivar AKA8401 contig_4291_5, whole genome shotgun sequence.